UUUUUAAAUGCCAAGAAAUGAGUCGAAUAGAAGAGGUCGUCUGCAUCUCCACUUGACGUGCGAUCUUCUUUGCUGCUGUCCACUUGUCGGGGUUCGUUAAUGUCACGAAUUGCGGGACUUACCGUUUCAUGCCGUUGUUUUCAUUUCUGGGAUCUGCCAAGGAUCGGCUUUCAAGUGAGACCCAGUGGCUUACGUUAUCUAGACUGAAUAGUCUACCUGCGUACAGACGUCUAGUUAUUGCCCAACUCUCCACUGCUUGCGAGUUUUGACGCUGGACUCAACACUUUGAAUCGCUCCAUUUAAAGACGAUAAAAUCUAAACUGUGUGGUGAAUCUACUUUAACUGCUGAUGAAUCCAGUAAAUGAAAAGAGGUGAUGGUGACUGAACGCUGAGCUUAUAAAAAUCCGCAUCGGCUGUGUGUGCCUCUUGUCCGUUCCAUUUAACAUUAGCUCUCGCGAAUUUAAACGGCCAAUGUUUUUCCUUUAAAUUGAAUACGAUCUGAAUUCGAACCGAAAUUUCAGUGCCCUUGUGGCAUUCCUGUAAAUCUACGUCAGUGUAUUCGGUGCCAACUCUUGUAACCGAUUUUCUUCUUUCUAGCUGCGAAAGGUUAUGAUGUCCUUUAGGUGACUGCUGCAACAAUUACUGGAUUCCAAAUGGCACUACAAGACGACAAGGAUUAUUGAAACAAGAUGUCUUUGGUCAACAUAUUGCAACUGAGGUUGUAUCCCGUCAGAUAGAAGCCCACUUGACCAAUGAUAGUCCUUAAAAGCAUCUAGUAUUAGAUUUCCAUGGUUGAACAGGGAACGGUCUAAAGUCAGUUCUAUCACCACUUCAUAUCCACAGUGCACUAUCCU